rnacentral:misc_RNA from 1 species
CAGAGUUGCAAAACUCCCCACAACCAUCGCGAACGUUACCUGCUUUACAAGCUCUUGUCAUUUGUCGUGGCAUCUUCUGAGUUAACACAAAAAUGAAUCA